GAUUUAAACUGAAAAAGUCAUCAACAACAAAGUUGUAUAACUCACCAAUAUCUUUAAAUUUUAUUUUUGUCAUUUCUUCAUCCGACAAAGUGAUAGUAACAUUGUCACAAAAUUUACAUAUCUCUCUUAUAGUUUAUAAAACCAUGUAAGAGAUGUAAAUUUUGUGAACAAUGUUACUAUCAUUUUGUUGGAUGAAGAAAUGACCAAAAUGAAAGUUAUAGGUCCUGAUGAGUUAUACAACUUUGUUGAUGAUGACUUUUUCUGUUCAAAUC
rnacentral:pre_miRNA from 1 species